rnacentral:pre_miRNA from 1 species
UUUGAGGGGAAUGUUGUCUGGCUCGAGGUGCAUGGAGAAACCUCUGAUCUCAGGUUUGAUCUGUAGAGAUUGAUCUCGGACCAGGCUUCAUUCCCCUCAAG